rnacentral:lncRNA from 1 species
GUCAGGCAAUCUGUGAGAAUCUGAAAGGAAGUUGCUCUAAAAUAAAUUUUUUACGUGUGAUUUAUAUGAAAAAUCGGAGGGGCAGAAUGUCACUAUUGUGAUUACAUCUACAUGAAUUAUAGUGAACAUUAUUCACAACACUUCCGAUUACCAUCCAAAAGUUUUGCGAUUUUUGAAUGUGGCUUUUGAUGGCACAGGCGACUGCUUAAUUGCUGGGGACCACCAAGGAAAUAUUUAUGUUUUUGACUUACAUGGAAACAGGUUCAAUCUUGUUCAGCGAACAGCACAAGCUUGCACAGCUCUGGCCUUUAAUCUUCGUAGGAAAUCUGAAUUCCUUGUGGCAUUAGCUGAUUAUUCUAUUAAAUGUUUUGAUACAGUCACCAAGGAGCUAGUUAGCUGGAUGAGAGGACAUGAAUCAUCAGUAUUUUCGAUCUCUGUGCAUGCAUCAGGGAAAUAUGCCAUCACAACUUCUUCUGAUACAGCACAAUUAUGGGACUUGGAUACCUUUCAGAGAAAAAGAAAGCUGAAUAUUCGCCAGUCUGUGGGUAUACAGAAGGUUUUCUUUCUACCAUUAAGUAAUACCAUCCUCAGCUGUUUUAAAGAUA